UCCAAAAUAACCUUCAGGGCAUCUUCUUUGUUGACAGCCUAUUGGGGAACCGUGCCUUCAUAGGGAAUAUUCUAGAUCUGCCCUAAUCUCCUUGCAAUCAGUAGAAAUAUGACACCUUUAAUAGUGCAGCCCAUGUCAUCCGAACCUCUCUCUCACCAAGCUUGGGUAGGCAGGCUAAUUCAUAAUGCAGAACCUCUCCUAUUCUUGAUUCUAGAUCCAAUCCCCAACACAAAAUCUCUCCUUAUCAAGAAAUUGAAAGUCAAUUUUCCUACCGAUUGUGAUGAUACAUUGAGAAAGGAAUCCA
rnacentral:lncRNA from 1 species